rnacentral:rRNA from 1 species
UACGUAGGGCGCAAGCGUUGUCCGGAAUUAUUGGGCGUAAAGAGCUCGUAGGCGGUUUGUCGCGUCUGCUGUGAAAACCCGAGGCUCAACCUCGGGCCUGCAGUGGGUACGGGCAGACUAGAGUGCGGUAGGGGAGAUUGGAAUUCCUGGUGUAGCGGUGGAAUGCGCAGAUAUCAGGAGGAACACCAAUGGGCGAAGGCAGAUCUCUGGGCCGUAACUGACGCUGAGGAGCGAAAGCAUGGGGAGCGAACAGG